GAACCUCGUUGCAUGACCGAUCCUUCUGGUGAUACACUCCAGGACUGGAUAGAAGAGAUGUCAACGUUCGUGAAGUCAAUUGACAGGAAACAUCUGCUAACAGUGGGUCUUGAAGGAUUCUAUGGUCCUAAAAGUCCCAAAAAAACAACUGCCAAUCCAGAAAUUUGGGCUGCUGAUCUUGGAUCAGAUUUUGUCCGCAACUCUAUACUUUCAACCGUUGAUUUUGCCUCCGUGCAUGUGUACCCAGAUCAUUGGUUUCACCACAAAAAUUUUGAAGAAAUGUUGAAAUUUGCGGCCAAAUGGAUGCUUUCCCACAU
rnacentral:misc_RNA from 1 species